CUAAAAUUUAUCUGCUUUUAUGCAUAGCACGAUCUGAUGCUCAGAAAUCUUUGUUUCUGCCGAUAUUCUCUACAUAUGUUUUGAAUCGCUGGUGCUGUCUGUAUUUAUGCUGCAUUUGUUGCUGUCAUCUGUUUCAUUUUGUGGGUUAAGAAAAAAUGAAAGCAGAUCUAUUGAAGAUAUCUUUUUUAAGUACAUCGGCUUUCUAUGGUGUGCUUUCUGAGAGGCAUUUGUGUAGCAUGUCUGCAUUUACUUUGUUAUUUUCAACGCACAUGCUCACGACAUGGCUGCAACAGCCUGACAGUAUGUUCCUAAGAUUGUUGUUGCUGAAGAGAUGAUUGCAUGUGAAGAACUGCUACAGAUCAGAUGGCAACCUUUGAUCAGGUUUUCACCUUAUGAUCUCUUGGAGUGAUCUUACCAUUCUAUGGCAACCUUUGAUCAGUCAAUGGAGAUUGACCAUGAUGAUGGCUGCAUAUGAGUGAAGAAGACAAAUGCUCUGGAUGAUGCCAAUAUGUACAAGGAUACAGGGGUGGGUCUAUCAAAUUCCUGCUAUGCAUCUCUGAUACUGGUUAAGAAGCAAAGUGCCAUGGUUAUCAUCACUGUUUUGGAGGAUAUAGACUCUAUGCCUCUCCAUCCCUUGGGCUUCUUUGAGUGCCGAAGUGUUUCAUGCUGAAUGGUACUUGGUAAAUGGAGCACGGUGCUGGAGGGAACAGAGGCGGCUGGACGAGGCAGCGGCGCGAUGGGUUUGGGCUGGUGCAGGGAAGGGGGGCUGUCGUGCGUGCGGGAAAAGGUGGUGUUGGUCAUCGCGGGAGCUCGGAUAGCGAUGGCGGUCGGACAACAGAGUGGCCCCUUCUCAGUGGAGGAUCUUCUCUUCUCCGUCCUUGACUUCCUGGCGAUGUGGUUUGCCGGGUGAACAGAGGCGUCUAAACAAGGCAGCGGCGCGAUGGGGCUGGGCCGGUGCGGGGAAGCGAGGUUGCCAUGCGUGUGGGGAAAGGAGGUGCAGGUCAUUGCAGACUCAUCUCUUCCUGCCCACUUCAUCUCAACCAGGCAGCAUGACCAGCAGCGACGUGCCGCUGCCGCCGAAGUGGUUAGGGGUCCGAAGCUGCUCGCCGAGCCCUGCCACCGCAGGUGUUCUGCCAGAGCGCCGCAACUCCCUGCCUCAACAAGGAGGCGUAGCAUU